UACGUAGGCAGCAAGCGUUGUCCGGAAUUAUUGGGCGUAAAGAGCUUGUAGGCGGUUUGUCGCGUCUGCUGUGAAAUUCCAGGGCUUAACCCUGGGCUUGCAGUGGGUACGGGCAGACUAGAGUGUGGUAGGGGAGACUGGAAUUCCUGGUGUAGCGGUGAAAUGCGCAGAUAUCAGGAGGAACACCGAUGGCGAAGGCAGGUCUCUGGGCCACUACUGACGCUGAGAAGCGAAAGCAUGGGGAGCGAACAGG
rnacentral:rRNA from 1 species